AUUGAACGCUGGCGGCAGGCCUAACACAUGCAAGUCGAACGAGUGGCGGACGGGUGAGUAAUGUCUGGGAAACUGCACGAUGGAGGGGGAUAACUACUGGAAACUGUAGCUAAUACCGCAUACCAUCAGAUGUUCCCAGAUGGGAUUAGCUUGUUGGUGGGGUAACGGCUCACCAAGGCGACGAUCCCUAGCUGGUCUGAGAGGAUGACCAGCCACACUGGAACUGAGACACGGGCCAGACUCCUACGGGAGGCAGCAGUGGGGAAUAUUGCACAAUGGGCGGAAGCCAGAUGCAGCCAUGCGGCGUGUAUGAAGAAGGCCUACGGGUUGUAAAGUACGUUCAGCGGGGAGGCGGUACCCGCAGAAGAAGCACCGGCUAACUCCGUGCCAGCAGCCGCGGUAAUUC
rnacentral:rRNA from 1 species